UCGGACUUGAGCAAAUUAUUCGUUGAAAUGAGUUGGUGAAAAGAGAUAAAACUAUCGACUUCUGUUGAAUUUUAUUACCUCCGAUUCAGAAUAAAAACUCCUUGUUGACUCGUGAGAAUGUGUGUGUUAUGUGUGUGAACAAAAAUAACUAUCUAUACAUACAUACUUAUUUCUACGCGUUUAUCUGAAAGUUGCGACUACUGUACUCAUAAUUUACUUAAUUUUUGUGUAUUUUUGUAUUGUUUCGUCCUAAACACUUAAUCCUUCCGGACACCAUGGCUCUCUGUGUUUGUAAAUGCCUGAAUGUAACGCUUGAAGGUGAUAAAGUUGAAGACAAUGUCGAUAUUGGGAAACUGGAGUUAUCAUCCAUGGAACAAAGGGAUAUUUUUUUCAGUGAGAAACUGAUGUCUUGCACUCUGAGCAGCUUGAAGAGUCAGGUUGCCCAGCCUGCACUGGUGGACCAGCGAGCACUAGGCAGGUGGAGCAUUUACUCCUGCCUGGCUUGCGGCCAGCCCACUCAUGCCAUAUCACAUGACAAAAGCGGACCUUAUGCAUUGCUUGUUUGUAAAUCUAAUCAGACCACACAAGAUCGGAUAAACAGUCUGAAAAAGUCAAACAACUAUUCGCCAGUAUUCAACUUAUUAGUGCCAGAAGUAACAAAUGAUAUAGAAAUGAAGGAAAAUGUGGACACAAACAACUUUAUAAACAGUGAUAGGAAUGUGUGGCUUCCAACUCAGCAGGUGAUAGGCACUCUCAGUAAACAGCUGAAUCAAACUCUGCAGUCUCAGCUGGAAGCUGUCGAGGAGUCUGUCAGGCAGUUCAGAGAUCAGAAGUAUGCUGAGUUUGAGGCUUACAGGGAGAGAGCACAUAGGGAUCACAAAAUAUUAGCUAGUAUCAUAAGCAAGGCACGCAGCACAGUGGACAGGGAUGGCUGGCGGAUCGACACGAACAUUGACAACGGACCACCCUCCCCUCACCUACCUCCCCUACAACGACGAAGACUGUCCUCCUUCAAAGAUGCCAAAAAAGUCUCACAAAAUAUUGUUAAGUCUACUAGGAAUAUGCCGCCUGAAGAAGAUUCAUUGGACGCUGAGGAUCUUUUUGACUUAGAAGGCUUUGACUCCAGGAACAACAUGCUCUCCGAUCAAGAUGACUAUGAUUCUGAUCAAAUGCAUUUUCUCAAUAACGUUUCUCAGAGGGCAGUAACGACGAAGGCAUCCACAUCGGGCGGCCCCGCGGCGGCGGCGUAGAGGUCAUCGCGCGCUCUCUCCCCAUGAAUAUGCCAAAGUUCCCCAACGAACGCCCCACGCCUCGGGAGUUAGACGAUGAUGAGGAGCCGCAGGACAUAGCGGCGAGCAUCAAGGCGCUGGCGCGGUCGGUGCACGGCGACGUGUUCGAGCUGCCGCGCCCGCGCUUCUCCACUCAGAUCUAGCGAGCCCAGCUCUGUCCGCGUUACACUCGCCCGCUUCACAACACUCAACCAUUCAAAUAUCUCGUCGAGUUGUGCAUGCCUCGUGUGCGAACACUCACACAUACACUUGCCACACAUUGGUGCUUCAUGAUGUGAUCACAGUGACCCUAAAUCCAAAUUAUGAGUAUACAUUACGUUUGACCUAACAACUAGUGACAAUACAUGCUACAUUAAUGAAAACCAUACAAUAUGGCAGCUACAUAUUAAAAAAGCUUGAAAAUUGGGAGCUCUUUAAUAUUAUGAAAUAAGGUAUAAAUAUAUGAGAAGAAAGUAGGAUAAGAGGCUAUAAAAAUAUGUUAUUAUAAGCAGAGUAACUAUAAAAUAAAAGAUAAAAAAUAAAUUGUUUCUAAUGCAGUUUACUAAUUAUAUUUAAUCUUAACUCGGGCCCCGACAGGACAUAAUUUUGAUUGUAUGUAAACCGCCAUUUAGUUAGUUUUGAGAUACAUUUGAAUAAUGGAAACAGUUCAUUUAUAAUAGUGAUAAAGGAUGCAUUCUAUGGUUAAUAUAUUUUUCUACUAUAUGUCCAUGACUAGGAUAUAAACAAGUGACCAUCAAUUAUUGCGAAGUCAAUUAAAACAUAUUUAGAUAAUGGUGAGAUGAAAUAGUGUUAUUUGCCUCUGCGCUCAAUGUCGCUCGCUCAUUCUAAUAAACACAUAAUACAAUCUAGCCAUAUAAAAGUAAUAAUUGAUGGUAAACCCGACGAAUGCAUAACCUUAUAUUUAGAAGUCGGUUAAAAAUAGAGUUGUGACAGCAUUAUGUUAAUAAAACGAAGUGGACCUAAGAUAAUAUGCCAUAUUACUGUGAAAUAAUUCUUGUCGGCCUUUGGUACCUAUAAAACAUUCAUGUAUGUGCGAAAGUAUCUUGGUGUCUGUGAGUAUUGUUAAAUAUAUGUAAAUAUAAUAAAUUUUAUAGAUGACAAGUAAAUAUAAAUAUGAAUUGUUAACAUCUAAGUCAUAUCCACGUUAAUAGACUUUUCUAUUAUUUUUAUCAGGUGUUAUCUUAAUGAUAAGUGAAAAAGUGUACAAAAAUAUUAAUACCUUGCAUUUCUUACUAGUCUUUUAGGGUCACGAAUAAUUUUUCAUUGUUAACAUUUUGUUCAGUAGGUAGUUUAUAAAAUCGCGAACUUAAAGGAAAUCAUGAAUGUACAUAUAAGUGAUCAUAUUGUUAUUACGUUGGAUAACGAAACAAUAAAAAACUUUUGAAAAUCAUUUAUUUUUAUACCCAAUAUUUUGAAUGUUUAUGUAAAGGUGAACAGACAGAAUCAGGAAUCAGGAGUAGGCCUCGGUGACGCAGAUGCGUUUCGUUCGUUUGUAAUGUUUACUUUCUAUAACUUGCUUAGUAUAUAAGUUAGCCUAUAUUACGUUUUCUUAUCUCGUGUGUUAUCUGAACAGACGAAUCAUAGUUUUCAGCGUCUUCCAAUAGCACUGAUUUAUAAAGAAGAAAGAUGAUUUUUGAAAUGUGAUGUUUAUUUCAGUCAGUUGUUUUUUUUAGCUAAAACUAAUAAAUUGUUUCAUUGGUGUGACUUUUAAGAGAUGGACCUUGAUUGUAUGUAUUUAGAAGUAUGUAAUAAAUAUUGAACGUGAA